AAGAUCCCUUAGUCCAUCAACUUUUGUAUGGUAGACCUCAAAAUUCUGCACUAUUAUGGGUUAAUCGGACAAUUUUCACAGGUUGUAAUACACACUGGAAAUGCAUUAUUCUUCAUCAACACGUUCUUUAUCCCAACGGGUAGAGUUUUCAGUUCGUCCACGGAUGUUCAUCUCUACCAUGGUUGAUUUGUUAUGAGGAGGCAUUGGGCGAGCGUCUAGCUUAGAAUUGGCUCC
rnacentral:lncRNA from 1 species